AGGAAGAUUUCUCAGUAGCUCAGAGGACAGGCUGCUUUUUACACAACCUUGUAAGAGAAUGUCUGUCAAUGCUUUCAGCAGAAUUUAGAAACACAACACUUCCUAAACAGAUAUUUUGAGGCUGUGAGGUUGAACGUUUGAGAGUCUAUCAGUGUGUUUGUUUGUGGUCUUUCUGUUUCUAGGUGGAAGCUGAAUUAGUGAGGAUGACUCCUGCUCCUGUCAUCUCUAAGCUCCUCCCACAUCUUUACCUGCACAUGAGGAAAAUCACUCCUGUAGAAUGCAGAUGUUCAGAGGGAGAUGAUGCCACAUCUGGUCCAGCUGAUGGAAGGUCUUGAAGUUCUCUGACUGGCCUGGACUGAAGAUGGUCGUCUCACUGGAUUUAAGGUUCAGAUGCUCAGUAACAAACUCCACCAAUGAGCCAACAGGGAAGCUUUAGGUUUAUUAAAUGUUGUUAUGAAGGUUUCACUGUUUUUCUUUGUGAGUGCAAUGUGCUCCAACUGAAACUUGAAUUAGAACUUAGAAGUAAAUCCUUCCAUCUGACAGGAUUUAGUUGCAUUAAUAACCUCAUAGCAUUCUAAUUUUUAUUCCAGUCUUGGUUGGAAAUAGAAUCUCUGUAUUGAUUCAGGUAAAAACUGAACUUCACAGCAUGUUGGAGCAAAACAACCAGAUGAAAACUGUGAUGGUGUUGGAUUGUCAGACCGUAAUGUUGCAGCUCAAAGCAGCUUUUCUAUCUCAGUUCAUUCUGACAUUCAGCUAUGAAUCAACACAGCAGAUGGUGAUCCAUGCUGUGGAAGUCUCACAUCUCCUGAUUUAAUGGAGCUGCUUUACACUUUUUACACUGUUUAUUCACCAACACUUUAUUUAAUAAAAGUCCCAUCUAGUUUUCAUGAGGAAUGUGAUGUUUUAAUUUCUCUGUGAAUAACUGCAGUCUAAUGGAACAGCUGGAAUUGUAACAUCUGUCCUGAUAUUGAUCAUGAAGUAUUGAUCAGAAUACUUAUGGUUAGCAGUCAUCCCUGAAGUUUUACAUUAAAAUCUUUACUUGUGUUGUGAACUUUGGUAAGAAGCAGAAACUUUAGCGUUGCCAUGGAUACAGGAGUGUUAAAUUCUGUCCAUGUUUCCAUUUUGGGAAAUUCAGUCCAGUUCCAGAAUGUGGAGGAAUUUAGUCUCACAAUCACAGACAACAAAUAUUAUCUGAAAGUCGGGUUAUUGUUGUUUAUCAGCACAAUACAAAAAGAUUAAUGUUAGAAAUAUUCCAGUUAAGACUCUAGAAUAUCAUGAUUUAUGUAAAUUUACCUCAAUAAUAUGAAUGUUCAAGUUAAGAUUGUACAGUGAUAUUUAUUAUGUAAGUUUAGCUGAUUAAAGUUUAUUAUUUAUUAUUUAAAUUGACAUCAUUAUUAUAAUAUUUAGGGUCAGACCCGACAGUAUUGAGAUUAAGAAAUCAAAUAUUCUAUAAAAUGUAAAUACACUGAACUCAUUUGGAUAUAUUUAAGUGAAACUCUACAAUAUUAUUUGACACAAAUCUAUCUAAAUCAACAUUUUAAUCAUUUUUACUCCAAACAUUUACUGGGCUGGUUUAAAUAUUAAAAUCACUCCUUUCUGAUCCUCUGCUGUCUGUUCAAACCUGAGGCCUUAAAUAGAAACACACAAGUAUCUGAUUGAAGGAACUUCUGCAGAGUCCUGGUUCCAGAACAUGAUGAUAGAAUUAUAGACAAACUUUAACAAAAGCUGCCUGAGAGUUUACAGGUUUUUAUGUUGGAUUUCUUCAGUAAUUUAAUGAUAGUUAUCAGCAAAAAUCAAGUGUUCAUUUGAUGAACUUCAUUUCCUAAAACAUCCAGAAUUGGAGCUCAUAUCUUUGGCAGCUGUAAAGUUUCUGCUCCUUCAAAGUUCACAACACAAUGAAUGAAUUCCUAAAACACUCUCAAUGCUGGAGAGCGUUUGUGAUGCUGAAGCAGUGAUCAGUUUUUCUGUUUCUUCUCUGGAGAUGCACAAUGAGGGACGUCUGCAGAGACUGAGAAAGAGUCUCACCACAUCCUGACAUGAGGAAAAAGACUUUAUUGAAGACUACAAUGAGAAAAACUAUCAGACAGCAGACGGCUGCAUUCAAGUCUGUAGCUGCUGAAUUCAUGGAUGAAUCAUCUGGCACUAGAGAGGAAGACCAUCAAACAUCCACGUCAGCUGAUGGAGGUCCAAGAGUCUCACCGAACAACCAACCUACAGAGUGAAGACCUCCAAUCUGAUUGGACGGCCUCCUAUUCAGCCACACGUGUGAACAAAUGCCUCUAAGCUGAUUUGUUUUCUAAAAUAAAUCUAGUUUGAGCCCUAA